rnacentral:rRNA from 1 species
CACGGAUCCAGAGUUUGAUUCUGGCUCAGGAUGAACGCUGGCGGCGUGCUUAACACAUGCAAGUCGAGCGAAGCACUUGAGGUUGAUUUCUUCGGAAUGAAAUCUCAUUUGACUGAGCGGCGGACGGGUGAGUAACGCGUGGGUGACCUGCCCCAUACCGGGGGAUAACAGCUGGAAACGGCUGCUAAUACCGCAUAAGCGCACGGAGCUGCAUGGCUCAGUGUGAAAAACUCCGGUGGUAUGGGAUGGGCCCGCGUCUGAUUAGGCAGUUGGCGGGGUAACGGCCCACCAAACCGACGAUCAGUAGCCGACCUGAGAGGGCGACCGGCCACAUUGGGACUGAGACACGGCCCAAACUCCUACGGGAGGCAGCAGUGGGGAAUAUUGCACAAUGGGGGAAACCCUGAUGCAGCGACGCCGCGUGAGCGAAGAAGUAUUUCGGUAUGUAAAGCUCUAUCAGCAGGGAAGAUAAUGACGGUACCUGACUAAGAAGCCCCGGCUAACUACGUGCCAGCAGCCGCGGUAAUACGCAGGGGGCAAGCGUUAUCCGGAUUUACUGGGUGUAAAGGGAGCGUAGACGGCGAAGCAAGUCUGGUGUGAAAACCCGGGGCUCAACCCCGGGCCUGCAUUGGAAACUGUUUUGCUUGAGUGCCGGAGAGGUAAGCGGAAUUCCUAGUGUAGCGGUGAAAUGCGUAGAUAUUAGGAGGAACACCAGUGGCGAAGGCGACUUACUGGACUGUAACUGACAUUGAGGCACGAAAGUGUGGGGAGCAAACAGGAUUAGAUACCCUGGUAGUCCACACUGUAAACGAUGGAUACUAGGUGUAGGAGAUAUUAAGUCUUCUGUGCCGUCGCAAACGCAGUAAGUAUCCCACCUGGGGAGUACGGCCGCAAGGUUGAAACUCAAAGGAAUAGACGGGGGCCCGCACAAGCAGUGGAGUAUGUGGUUUAAUUCGAAGCAACGCGAAGAACCUUACCAGGGCUUGACAUAUGCAGGAAUAUAUAAGAGAUUGUAUAGCUCUUCGGAGUCUGUAUACAGGUGGUGCAUGGUUGUCGUCAGCUCGUGUCGUGAGAUGUUGGGUUAAGUCCCGCAACGAGCGCAACCCCUGUAGCUAGUUGCCAGCACGUAAAGGUGGGAACUCUAGCUAGACUGCCGUAGAUAAUACGGAGGAAGGUGGGGAUGAUGUCAAAUCAUCAUGCCCUUUAUGUCCUGGGCUACACACGUACUACAAUGGCUGUAACAGAGGGAAGCAACACAGUGAUGUGAAGCGAAACCCAAAAAGCAGUCACAGUUCGGAUUGAAGGCUGAAAUUCGCCUUCAUGAAGCCGGAAUUGCUAGUAAUGGCAGGUCAGCAUACUGCCGUGAAUACGUUCCCGGGCCUUGUACACACCGCCCGUCACACCAUGAGAGUUGGGGAUACCCGAAGCCUGUGAGCCAACUAUAAAGAGGCAGCAGUCGAAGGUAGAAUCAAUGAUUGGGGUGAAGUCGUAACAAGGUAGCCGUAAGCUUCAC